AUUGAACGCUGGCGGCAGGCUUAACACAUGCAAGUCGAGCGGGGGAGGUUGCUUCGGUAACUGACCUAGCGGCGGACGGGUGAGUAAUGCUUAGGAAUCUGCCUAUUAGUGGGGGACAACAUCUCGAAAGGGAUGCUAAUACCGCAUACGUCCUACGAGAGGAAGCAGGGGACCUUCGGGCCUUGCGCUAAUAGAUGAGCCUAAGUCGGAUUAGCUAGUUGGUGGGGUAAAGGCCUACCAAGGCGACGAUCUGUAGCGGGUCUGAGAGGAUGAUCCGCCACACUGGGACUGAGACACGGCCCAGACUCCUACGGGAGGCAGCAGUGGGGAAUAUUGGACAAUGGGGGGAACCCUGAUCCAGCCAUGCCGCGUGUGUGAAGAAGGCCUUUUGGUUGUAAAGCACUUUAAGCGAGGAGGAGGCUACUGGUAUUAAUACUACCGGAUAGUGGACGUUACUCGCAGAAUAAGCACCGGCUAACUCUGUGCCAGCAGCCGCAGUAACAC
rnacentral:rRNA from 1 species